rnacentral:rRNA from 1 species
ACGGGGGGAGCAAGCGUUGUUCGGAAUCACUGGGCGUAAAGGGCGUGUAGGCGGUCAGGUAAGUGGAAUGUGAAAGCCCUCGGCUCACCCGAGGAUCUGCAUUCCAAACUGCCUGGCUUGAGUAUGGGAGAGGAUGAGGGAAUUCCUGGUGUAGCGGUGAAAUGCGUAGAUAUCAGGAGGAACACCGGUGGCGAAGGCGCUCAUCUGGCCCAAUACUGACGCUGAGGCGCGAAAGCUAGGGGAGCAAACGGGA